rnacentral:rRNA from 1 species
GGCGGCAUGCCUUACACAUGCAAGUCGAACGGCAGCACGGGGGCAACCCUGGUGGCGAGUGGCGAACGGGUGAGUAAUACAUCGGAACGUGCCCUGAAGUGGGGGAUAACGUAGCGAAAGUUACGCUAAUACCGCAUAUUCUGUGAGCAGGAAAGCAGGGGAUCGCAAGACCUUGUGCUUUAGGAGCGGCCGAUGUCGGAUUAGCUAGUUGGUGAGGUAAAGGCUCACCAAGGCGACGAUCCGUAGCGGGUCUGAGAGGAUGAUCCGCCACACUGGGACUGAGACACGGCCCAGACUCCUACGGGAGGCAGCAGUGGGGAAUUUUGGACAAUGGGCGCAAGCCUGAUCCAGCCAUGCCGCGUGAGUGAAGAAGGCCUUCGGGUUGUAAAGCUCUUUCGGUUGGGAAGAAAUUGCUUCGGUUAAUACCCGGAGUAGAUGACGGUACCAGCAUAAGAAGCACCGGCUAACUACGUGCCAGCAGCCGCGGUAAUACGUAGGGUGCGAGCGUUAAUCGGAAUUACUGGGCGUAAAGCGUGCGCAGGCGGUUGUGU